UAUCAUUAACUGAAUCCAUAGGUUAAUGAGGCGAACCGGGGGAACUGAAACAUCUAAGUACCCCGAGGAAAAGAAAUCAACCGAGAUUCCCCCAGUAGCGGCGAGCGAACGGGGAGGAGCCCAGAGCCUGAAUCAGCAUGUGUGUUAGUGGAAGCGUCUGGAAAGGCGCGCGAUACAGGGUGACAGCCCCGUACACAAAAGCGCAUGUGCUGUGAGCUCGAUGAGUAGGGCGGGACACGUGGUAUCCUGUCUGAAUAUGGGGGGACCAUCCUCCAAGGCUAAAUACUCCUGACUGACCGAUAGUGAACCAGUACCGUGAGGGAAAGGCGAAAAGAACCCCGGCGAGGGGAGUGAAAAAGAACCUGAAACCGUGUACGUACAAGCAGUGGGAGCACCCUUUGGGUGUGAC
rnacentral:rRNA from 1 species